CGUAGUUGGAUUUCUGGGGGCUGAUUCUGGAGGGCGGCUAUGGCCGCCACCGGUUUCUUCCUUCAUCCACCUGUUAACGUUGUUCGAGAUUCACUUCUCGGCUUCGGGCUCAGGUAUUUUACCCUUACUAUAUUCAUUUAUUUAUCUUCUUUUUGAGCAAAUUAUAGUGUUUCAGGCAGGCGUGCGCCGGAAUACUUUAGCAUGGAAUAAUCGAAUUGGACCGUGUUCCUUAUUUGUUGGUUGAUGGGCACGGAAUGGUUAAUAGGGAUAGUAAUUUUCAGGGGAGGCAUUAGUAUUUAAUUUCCAGAGGUGAAAUUCUUUGAAAUAUUAAAGACUAACUUAUGCGAAAGCAUUUAUUUUGCCAAUAAUGUUUUCAUUAAUCAUUGAACGAAAGUUAGGGGAUCAAAGACGAUCAGAUACCGUCCUAGUCUUAACCAUAAACGUUGCCGACUAGGGAUCGGAGGGCGUGCACAUUCCGCCUUCGGCACCUUACGAGAAAUCAAAGUCUUUUGGGUUCUGGGGGUAGUAUGGUCGCAAGGCUGAAACUUAAAGGAAUUGACGGAAGGGCACCACCAGGAGUGGAGCUUGCGGCUCAAUUUGACUCAACACGGGAAAUCUUACCAGGUCCAGACAUAGCGAGGAUUGACAGAUUGAUAGCUCUUUCUUGAUUCUAUGGGUAUUUUUGGUGGUGCAUGGCCGUUCUUAGUUGGUGGAGUGAUUUGUCUGGUUAAUUCCGUUAAACGAACGAGACCUCAGCCUGCUAAAUAGUUACUUGUCUUUCUUUUACGAGACAUGCUAACUUCUUAGAGGGACGUUGUGUGCAACCACAAGGAAGUUGAGGCAUAACAGGUCUGUGAUGCCCUUAGAUGUCCUGGGCCGCACGCGUGCUACACUGAUACGUACAACGAGGUAUAUGUAUUUAUACAUCGAUGCUGCUCCAAAUAGACAAAGCUAAAUCUUCUAAAAUACG
rnacentral:rRNA from 1 species